UACGGAGGAUGCGAGCGUUAUCCGGAUUUAUUGGGUUUAAAGGGAGCGUAGACGGCACUGCAAGUCCGGAGUGAAAGCCCAAGGCUUAACCAUGGGACUGCUCUGGAAACUGUGGAGCUUGAGUGCGGGAGGGGCAGGCGGAAUUCCUAGUGUAGCGGUGAAAUGCGUAGAUAUUAGGAGGAACACCGGCGGCGAGGGCGGCCUGCUGGACCGUAACUGACGUUGAGGCUCGAAAGCGUGGGGAGCAAACAGG
rnacentral:rRNA from 1 species